rnacentral:rRNA from 1 species
CCUACGGGGUGCAGCAGUGGGGGAUAUUGCACAAUGGGGGAAACCCUGAUGCAGCGACGCCGCGUGGGUGAAGAAGCGCCUCGGCGCGUAAAGCCCUGUCAGCAGGGAAGAAAAUGACGGUACCUGAAGAAGAAGCCCCGGCUAACUACGUGCCAGCAGCCGCGGUAAUACGUAGGGGGCAAGCGUUAUCCGGAUUUACUGGGUGUAAAGGGGGCGCAGACGGCGAUGCAAGCCAGGAGUGAAAGCCCGGGGCCCAACCCGGGGACUGCUCUUGGACCUGCGGGGCGAGAGUGCAGGAGGGGAAGGCGGAAUGCGGGGGGGAGGGGGGAUAUGUGGAGAGAGCAGGAGGAA